rnacentral:rRNA from 1 species
GACGAACGCUGGCGGCGUGCUUAACACAUGCGAGUCGAACGGAAAGGCCCUGCUUUUGUGGGGUGCUCGAGUGGCGAACGGGUGAGUAACACGUGAGUAACCUGCCCUUGACUUUGGGAUAACUUCAGGAAACUGGGGCUAAUACCGGAUAGGAGCUCCUGCCGCAUGGUGGGGGUUGGAAAGUUUCGGCGGUUGGGGAUGGACUCGCGGCUUAUCAGCUUGUUGGUGGGGUAGUGGCUUACCAAGGCUUUGACGGGUAGCCGGCCUGAGAGGGUGACCGGCCACAUUGGGACUGAGAUACGGCCCAGACUCCUACGGGAGGCAGCAGUGGGGAAUAUUGCACAAUGGGCGGAAGCCUGAUGCAGCAACGCCGCGUGCGGGAUGACGGCCUUCGGGUUGUAAACCGCUUUCGCCUGUGACGAAGCGUGAGUGACGGUAAUGGGUAAAGAAGCACCGGCUAACUACGUG